rnacentral:lncRNA from 1 species
GGCUGGGCUGGGGUGGGGCGGGGCGGGGCGGCCUGGAGCGGGGAGCUGCGUGCCGCAAGUUUUGCCCGGAGUGCCAAAGUUGGGCUCAGCCCAGGUUCCUGGAAACUUGAGGAGCAAUCUUCUGUGCCUGAAGAAUGCAGUUCUCACCGGAUGUGUGUAUCCUACAUGAAGGGGAACAGAAGCAGGAUCAGCUGGGGUCCAGGAACUGUGUGAGACUGUGCUUGCAUGGCGGGUCUGAAGCUCACAUAUUCCUGUCUGGGUAUUCACCUUCAGCUUCAGAAGAGCUAUUGUCUCUCUUCUCUCAACUUCUGUACUUAGAGACAACUUCAGGAGAUUUGAGAGCACUCUGGAGUGAACCAGGAGGAAGCCUUGAACUACAAUUGUGUCAAUAAGAGUGGCUGUCCUUGGGAGAUGCUGAAGCUCAGCUUUAUCAUGAACUUUUCUUACACCCCUCAACAUAUGCACAAAGGACUUAAUUUUGUUUGGGAUUCAUGUGGUAUGAAAGAGUCAUGGCUGUAUGGGUUUCUUCCUCCCUUCACUUGAUGUCUGUAUGUUUCCUGCAGUCAGUAAUGAAGUCUGUACAAGGUCUGCUGACAUUUGGUUUGCUUUCAAGAGCUCUGAGUGACAGGUACUGUAAACAUCCUACACUCUCAGCUGUGGAAACUAAGAAAGCUGGGAGAAGGCUGUUUACUCUCCCUGGCUUGGAAAUCAUCUGGAGGGCGAGGAUGGAACGUUGUGAGCUCUGUGUUCAUUGUAUUUCUGACAGCCUGUACUUCUUAUUUUAUGUUUGGUGUCAGUAAACAAAUAAUAGCAUUAUAUCAUGCCAUCAAGCUCUUGAGUUCUGACUGAGGCUUGAACUCAUAAUAAUAAUUUUAAAAAAGGGCCUUUUGUACAAUACACUUAGCUGCAGUCCUGGCUUUAGGGAAACGCAAAUGGUAGCAGUAACACACAACAAGACCUUCAUCCUUAAAUACUGGGUAAAACAGACCUAUUUUACUGUUUGUUACAAGUUAGUGUGCAUGUUUUCAGGUCCACACAUCAGUGGUGUCUUUUGUUAAAGUCCUCCUUAAAUGUUUGGGUCUUGUGUUCACUCAAUUUAUGUUUUCCUACCUAGAGAGACUAGAAACAGAUGUCUGAAGGCAAAAAAAGGGUUCUCGGGGACUUCAAGUUUCAGUUCCUAUUUGAAGAAAUUGAGAUAUCAACCCCAGGUAGCUCUGUUUUUGAAUAAACUAAAUUAAAGAUGCAAAAGUAUUUAGCUUGGGUUUUAUACUAGCUCUUCUCUGCCACCUGCCAUCCAGACUGAAUUAUUGUUUGUACUUUUCUUGGCAAUCUUUCUUCUUUCUCUCGUUUCUAUUUCCCAUUAGUUAAGUAGGGCUUCUCAUUUUAAAUGUAGAAUAAUUUUUUACUUUCAUUUUAAAUCCAAAAUCGUACUGGCAUGGACUAAAUCCUCAUAAAAUGUACUUUUACAGCUAUUCUUAAGCAGUGAUGUUGGCAGAAAUGCUAUUAUUCAUGCACUUUCUUUUUUUAAAUUUAUUGGAGGGAGCCAUCUUUUGUGCUUUCAAAGAAUUUCUUCGUAAUUCAGUUAAGUGCAAAGAUAACCUUUUCUCUAUCGUCAUAUUUAAAGAUCUGCUGCUUUAGACUUUUAGCAAAAGUAUUUAAACAAAAAAGCUCUGAUAUAAGAAAUGUCCUAAAGAUUUUAAGUAAUUGGAUUUGGGAAGUGAUGGAAGUGGAAAGAGAACAGCAGAAUGGUAGAUCUUGUAAGGUUGUGAAAUAGUACUUCUGCAAAGUGGUCAAAAAAGGGAAUUCAAACAGGCAGAUCUUUAAAGAAAAGAGGGUGGGAAAAGUCCGUGUUCUGAAGCAGUAAUUAUUUAGGAAAAGGAAGUGGAGGGAAAGAAAGUCCUGGGGUCCAGUAAAGUACCAUAGACAGGGUUUAAGAUGAUGAGAUGAGGUCUGGCUUUACAUAAACCUGAAGAACUGGUGUUCAUGAGGUUUUGACUCUUGAUAUGUACAGUGAUACUACAAGUGAGGUUAGUCUUAUAAAAAGAUGGUUUUAUGGAGAAAUGAGUUGUUCAGACUAGUAAAACGAUAGAGGGUAGCAUUUCCUAACACACGUGGUUCCCUCGGCAGAGAGAUAUCUCCAACAGUGAUGGAGCACAGAAUUCUAUCCUCCAUCCUAUGAUAAUUCUGAUUGUAGGCUGUGCUGUUGAGAACACAGUUUCUUGAAAGGAGACGUCAGCUUUAAUAUGUGUUUUACUGUCUUUUUUGUUUUUAAUAUAGAUUUGCUUUAGGCUAGGAACCGCUGUUUUCUGUCAGAUGGAAAAAUCUAUGUUUAGCAUUAUCUAUUUGCUGUCUAAUGGUGAAAUUCCAGCUUUCGUUUUAUCUGUGUAAGUUGGGACUGUUGAAGCUUUUCUCAUACGUUUUUCCUUGGCCAUUCUUUCCUGUGGUUUCACUUGUGCUGGUAUUAAUGUUUGUUUAAACAGUGAGCUUACAGUGGCUCGACUCAGCUGAAAAUUAAACAAGCAAACCAGCUUUUAUCUGGACCAGAUGAGUAAGAGCUUACUGCACUACCAUGGUGCUGUGGCCAAAAUGCUGAUACCUUCAAACAUGUCCACCUUUCUGAAGGGCUAGAACAGAUUUUGCUGUAAAUAAGACCAUCGAAUCCUAAUGCAAUGAGAGAGUGAAAACACAGGAUUUUGAAUGCUCUUGUAUUUGGCAGUAGAUUGUUCUGUUGAUGCUGUUUGAAAGCAAUUGCCAGCAUAGUGCUGAAAUAAAUUUGGAUUAAAUUAUCAUGAUUAAAACUUUUGAUUUCUUGACAGCUAUUUAUGCUUCUGUGUCUUUGAAAGAUUUGUUUAUAAAGUGUAAUAAACAAAUUGUGUUGGUAAUGAGGAGCUACCAGUAAUUUUGCUGCCUCCAGAUCUUUAACUGUAAAGGUAUCUUUGGAUAUAUUUGCACCAGACAAAGCAUUGUGUAAAUUGCAUUAUUUCUAGGUCAUGUUUCGGUCUUUUUCUGUAAGUAUCACUUACCAAGCCAAAGGCAAGCUGAACAUUCUUUUCUUGUGCAAAACUCAGAUUUCAAGGAGUUUAAGACUUUCCAAUCAACUAAACAUAGAACUUUCCUAUUGUGAAAAAACAUACUCAGCUUUUUCAAAACUGUUGCCAAUAAUGAGUUUUGGGUUGGGUCCUUAGGUAAUCUGGAGAGCUACCGCAGCAAAUUGUCUGUGGGAAAUCUGUGAUUGGAGGCAUGGGCAAAAUCUGUGAUUGUAGGCAUGGGCCUUUUGCUGGUUUUUUUUUUUUUUCUUAAUGAGUGUUCUGCUAAGAUGCAAAAGUGACUUACUCUGUGUGAUUCUUGGCACUGCUCAGGACGGUGUCAUUCUUGUGUGCUAAGCUCAACGUGUUCCUUGGAUUGGCUGAUUGACUUUUAAAUGAGGAAGAAGACAUCUUACUAAUUAACCUUUUCCUUACUGCUAAGCAUUAAAGUGUAGGGGGUGAAAAUUACAGUACUCAAAUUUAAUAUAUAUGCUUCACACACGUGAAGCAUAUAUAUUUUUUUCUAGGCUACAUUUUUGAUUAUGUAGCCCCUAGAAGUAAUUACCUAAUAUCCAGUUUUGGUAGUGUAGGGAGUGACUGUGGGAAGAAAGAGUGCUUGGGAGUCCUUGGGCAAAGCUGUCUCUUGUUUGAAGAUUGCAGCCUGACCUUGGGUUUUACAAGUGGAAUAUUAGAGAAACAUUGCAUUAGAAGUUUCAAAGAGCUGCCAGUGGGGGAAAAGGGAGGUGAAGGAGAAAGAGAGGAAGAGAUGUGGGUUACUUGUCAUACAAAGGGGGGGGGAUAAUAUCCAGCUCAUUUUCAGUGCAAAUGAUUUCUUGAUAAUACAACAAAAGAGCAACAAUUGUCCUUGAUGCUUAUACAAAAGUUGAGGAUUUCUUUUAUGCAGUAAAUCUGACUGUCAGGGACUCUAAUUCAGUGUGUGAGAAUUGAAAGGUUUGUGACAAGCUAUUGUACUUUGAAGACCUCUAUUUUAAAAUCAAAGAAAAAGAUUGCUUUGAAUGAGAGAGUGGAAGAAUAAGGCAUUAUAUGGGCUUCAGUUACAACUGCCCCUGAAAUUAGUGGAUUCUAGACUUGAAUAUUUUCUGAGCUGUGAUGGAGAUAAACAUGUAGAAGCAACUCUCUGUGUACAAAAAAUAAACAGGUGUAACAUCUAUAAUAUAUUUGGAAUGUGUAAUAGCAUUAGUUAUUUAUUAGUUAUAUAUAUAUAUAUAUAUUAGUUGUUAUAAUAUAGUUUGGAAUGUGUAAUAGCAAAGUCAACUUAGUUAAAUUUAAAACAGAGCAAACACCUUGGCUUCACUUCAUGCUUUCUUCAAACUUAGGUUUUGUUCUUUGUGCACCUUCCUGGAUGCUUUUUUUUCCUCUUAGAAAAGCACUUUACUAAACAGAAUGCUGAAGCUUCUUUUAUUCUUGUGUGCAACUUUGCUUCUUGUCAGCUCUGGGCUCUAUCCAAGACCCACUCAGCUACAGGUAGGCUUUUGUUCCCUUAUUUUGCUUUGGUUUUGUGGAUGUUAGUGUGAAUUAAAUGGAAAUAAGCUUUUGUAGCAAUUGCUUUGUGUAACGAGCAACAGUUAAACUAAUCACUGCAGUCUAUGUCUAUGAAGUGUCUCAGAAGAGAAGCUUAGGGCUUGCUUCUUUUAAAUAGUGUAUUAUGAUGGCUAAUUGCAUCUUAUCUAAUUCUUCAAGAGGGAGAGUAGAGUGAGGCUGUGUUGCCUUAGCUUUACAACACUUAACUCCCCUCCACAGGAGGAAAUAGUUCUGUUCCUGCUGCAGUUAAUGGGAAAUUCUUGUUGCUGCCUCUAUCCUGUUCUUGAGGUGCUGAAAUAAUAUGGCAGAGCAAGAGACUGUGAUCCUGGCUUUGGAGAGAACCUUUGCACUUCAUUUUCUCUUUUGUGAAAGAAAAUGAUGCUUUCUCACAAGGCGGGGUAUGGUAAACAAACAGAAAUCUCUUUUUGUGCUGAAACAUGUUGCCUAAAAUCGUAUCACUGUGUCCUAGUUUAUCUUGUUAUGUUCCAGUCUUUCACUAUGGUCUAGAGAGAUUGCAGUGCUUGGUUGUAUUACUGGAAAAGAACAAAGGACCUGACACAGGGUUAUCAUAUGUGUUGCUAAAAGUUCCUUCUUGUGCUGCUGGCAUGUUAACCUCCCACCAUGUCCAUGUUGGUGUGCAGCUCCUCUUCUAGGAGCGUGCUGGGGCGGUGCUUCAUCAAUUGCAGCACAAACGUCAGCUAUAAGCUAGCCUCUCCACCACUUGCUGACACCCUAGGCGUGCUCUUAGAUUGGGGUAGGGUUCAGGCCACCCCACUGCAUUAUUGAGGUCAGCAGGGCUAAAUCAACACUGUCGCCAGCUGAGGACUUCUGGGCUUUGUGUCAUUUAAGGCCAUCCUCGAGUUGUUUCUCAGCAUCCUGAAGCACCACCGAAAAAAUGCUGCUAAAACAACUCCAGUUGGGCACCAGUGGGGCAGUGGUGUUGAUGCAGACAAAUGAAAUAACUUAAGGAUCUGCGAAGUUCCUGUUCUUUAGAUGCCUCAAUGUAACUAUAAACUCCAUGAAUAGUUGAGCUUUGUGCAACUUGUCCAGCUUGCAGAUGUUUUUGGCGACGAUGUUUGGAGGCUGUAAUCUCAUGCUUAGUUGGUGCAGUACAGUUGAAAUGCACACAGCGAUAGAUUUUCCUUCUCCUUAGUGCUUUCCACGCUCACUGCUUUGACAGUAAUGGAGCUUCUAAUUAAGAUCUCGCAGCUUCAAUUCGUGCAAUUGAUGAAAUGUUCCAAUAUGCUCUAUGUGCAGAUUGCAUAGAAGGGCAGAUCAAAUCUAAAUGGAAACAGAGAAGGUUUUAUCACCUUGGGGUAAUUGCAUGUAGCGUGCAGCCGUUGAAAUUAGAUGUGACAAAAGCGGUUGUCUCUGUUGUCACUCAGAGCAGCUGUGGGUCACGGGGCACAGGUCUGUGAAAGCAGGGGUGACCAGGCCUGUCUGCUCCUUGACAAACAGUCUGAACUGUGUGCUCACAGUAGUGCUUGCUGUGUUUGUGUCCAGAAGCCUGUCAAGCUGACUUCUAGGGACCCUGGCCCUUCUUAUUCCCAUUAUAGUGCCCCUUGGUCCCCAGAAAGGGGCUUUCCUUUGGGGUGCUCAGCUCUUGCUUUGCUGUUUAAACAUCAGCCUUAUUUUAUGAUAGUUCUUGCUGAAGUUUGCACACUAUCUGAAAGCUUUAGCAAGUAUCCAAACCAAGGAUACUUGGUGGGAGUUGAACCCUAUUGCUGAUGCGAAUCUCUUUUCUGCUCUUUCCAGUGGCAAGCUUUAUUCUGCCAAUGUGUUCUUACCUAUGGUUUACCCAAUGUUUGUCUUUCCUGCAGAGCUGUGUGCCUGUUUGUCUAAAUGCUCCUCAGUGAGGCUUUGUUGCUCUCCAGCUCAGAGCCGGUUAGAGCUGUGGAACCGACCGCAGCCUGGGCCUGUACUGUGGUAGGAAGGGAGCACAGCUAAACUCUUGAGGACAAAAGACAAUGAAUGGACAGUAUAUAGUAAGGUUUUUUGUGAGCUGCUCAGCUCUUCCAAGUGGGGGAGGAAAAGGAUCAAAAGUGAGGAAUAUUAAAGACAAAUUGAAGCUGAUGUUUGAACUACCAGUCCAGGAAACUCCAGAUACAAACUGAAUGGAAAGUUUUCCUCUGAAGUCUACAAAGAAUUUUCAAGGACAAAUCUGAAUGGAGAACAGCAAGGAUUUUCAUCUUUGUGUACUGGAACGAAGUAGUCACUGGCAGCUGGAAAAGAAACUUCAGAUUCUUGGCAGUAAACAAAAAAAAAAGGGUCCAGCUCAGAGGCUGGGGCUGAGUAGAUUUAAAGGCUUUGAGGGGCAAAUCUAAUGGUUUGGGUACAUACAAUAGAACACAUUUAUGAAAAUGAUGACGUGGGAAAUGAAAUGUAUUAGUUAGGGCUUCAAAAUACGUAUACCUGCAUUUGGGUUCUGUGAGUACAUUUUCAGGCUGGAACAAUGCCUGAAAAUAUCUCAAACACAUUGCUUGCGCUUCAGGUUGCAGUCUGUCACUUAACUUUAAAAGAGUCAUGGAUGAUGUGCUCUGAGGUUUACAGAGAGCAAAAUCCUGGUAGGGCAGGUGUUAGGGAUGGACUCGUGCGUCCUUGAAGUGCUCCCCUCCCGCUGCAUCCCUUCCUGAACUUCUAAGGAACUCCACAAGCCUGGAUCCAUUUCAGUUCAGAUUCACCUGAAAUAAAGGUGAAUGUAUAUAGCCGUCGCCAGCAGGGUGAGGUCGUCUGCCUUAGCUUUCUAGGGUGGUUUUUAAUGUCUGAAUUUGGACUGAGACAUCAGAAGAGAUGUGCAAGGGAAGAAAGAUUCAUUUUAUUUCAAGCAGGAACAUGGACGUUUUUGUUAAUUGUCUUCUAGGACUUAACCUAUACACGACCUCAUUCUGGGAAACGUGCUCAAAUAGAACAGAAGUUUUCAAAAAAUCAUUUUAUUUUGGAUUUUUUUUAAUUGUAUUUUAAAUUUACAACCAGUUUUAAUAGUAACACACAGGUUUCAGGCAUAGACAAGUACUUCACAUUUUAGUGAAAACAAAACCCUUUUGUGGAAAUAUUCUCUACUUGAAUGAGCUGUUGGGAACUGCAGUUGGAUCCAGACUGGUAUUUGCCCGUGGACAGUGGAGGUGAAUCUGCAGCACAGGCUCAGGAACUCAGGUGGGAUAUGGGAGGCUGAGCUGUAUGUCUCUGUUCUGCCUCGUUCCCCAAGGAAAGCAGUUCUUGAGAUCUUGACAUCUUUUAACAAACAAGAAAAAACACCAGCCUGUGUGUGCUGCCCAUCCACUCUAACUUCCCAUAUUCUUUUAUUCUGACAGACUUCACUCCAUUGCUUGUUCAUGGACAAGGCAAUAGUGUUAUACUUGGAAGGCUUUGACAUACAGCCUCCUCGAAAGUGUAUUUUCUGAACUGAAUCCUCUUACUCUCAUUUCUGAAGUAGAAGCAUCCAGUUAUGCUUGGGAUACUAUUUUUUUGUGUGUGUGCAAAGGGUUGUGGUAGAAAAGAGGAAUAAGAGCUGACCGUACACAGAAAAGAAAGUAGGAAGGCGAGUAGAAAGUAGGAAAGUAGAAAGUUGAGGAGAAUUUUUUGAGAGAGCCAAAAGAACCAACUUAAUCCCAGCUGAUGCUGUCGGCCCUAUGGAGAUCAACAUUCAACAGCCAGGGCUGCCCUGUUCUGUGGCUGUGUACUGCUAUUGGUCUGCAGCUCCUGCUCCGAGGAGCUCGUCUGAUCCCACUGGGGGGAGUUCAGUACCAACUCUCAGCUGAUGUUCCAUGCCUUGGGUUUUGUAGCUGUGGUGGUUGAAAUCUGCCAACAGCAGAGCACUACACAGCUGUGCACUUGUGUUCAGAUUAAAAAAAAAUUACUUACUAAGACCAAAAAGGAAGAGAAAAGGAAAAUAGUACUGAUAAUAACGUAUAUUUGUAAAAUAAGUGAUGCAUAAUGCAAUUGCUGACUGAUGCCCUGAGCAGUGUCUGCCUCCCCUGGCCAGCUCCUGUCUCCAUGGUGUCACAAGGUAUGGAAUAUCCCUUUGGGCAAAUUAGGUCAGCUCUCCUGCCAGUGUCCCCUCCCAGCUCCUUGUGGCUUGCUGGCAGGACAGUAUGAGAACCUGAAACGUCCUUGGCUCUGCAGAGCAACAACUAAAACAUUGGUGUGUUAUUAACACUGCUUUUAUCCUAAAUCCAAAAUGUAGUAUCGUAUCAGACAACGUGGGUAAAAAAAAAAAAAAAAUCAACCAGCUGAAACAGGACAGGAGCCAAGGAACUAAAUGAUGGAAAAGAAUAGGGUGAAGGAGGUGGAUGUCCAGGCAGACAGUUCUAGAAACAGGCCCAUGGAAAGGCUUAUCUGAAGCAAUCUGAGAAUGGCUUGAGUAGAGAGAAGGCUUGGGAAAUGAAGAAAACAUUGUCCAACAGGAAGAGCAGGAGGAGCUGCUGGAGGUGAUGUGCAGCUCCCUGAGUGAGGAGUCCCCACAGUGCCUGCGCAAAAGGAUUUCAGUGCUGAUGCUGUUCUGGUACAGCAAAAGUUUGCUUUUCUUCUUUGCCACUCUGUGCAGAGAAAAAGCAAUCUAAGAUCCAGAGAAUUAAAAGAAAUCAAAUGUUUUCCUCAGUUUUCUUCAGGGCCCUUCAAGGGGGAGGACAGGUAGUAUGGCACCCCAUGCCACCCCUUCUGCCUGCACUGUGGCUGUAUGCCAGUGCAGGGUGUGUCCUUUUGGUUCCAUUGCAGUACACUGCCUCCAGGUAAAACUGAGAAUAAUUGGAGAUAAUGAUAUAGUAGUAACAACUAAAUCUUCUUGCAGUCCCAAGCACAGGUUGGGUGGAGAAUCGUCUGAGGUCAGCCCUGAGGAGAAGGAUUUGGGAGUGUUAGUUGAUGAAAGAUUCAACGUGAGCUGGAAAUGUGCACUUGCAGCCCAGAAGGCCAACUGUAUCCUGGGCUGCAUCAAGAGAAGUGUGACCGGCAGGUCGAGGGAGGGGAUUCUGCCCUUCUACUCUGCUCUCACAAGACCCCACCUGGAUUGGUAUUGCAUCCAGUUCUGGGGACCCCAACACAAGAAGGACAUGGAGUUGUUGGAGCACCUUGGAGCACCUCCUCUAUGAGGACAGGCUGAGAGAGCUGGGGCUCUUCAGCCUGGAGAAGGGAAGGCUCCAGGAGGACCUUAUAGCAGCCUUCCAGUACCUGAAGGGGUCUACAGGAAAGCAGGGAAGGGACUUUUUAUAAGGAUAUGUAGUGACAGAAUGAGGGGAAAUGGAUUUAAACUGGAAGGGGGUAGAUUUAGACUAGAUAUCAGGAAGAAAUUCUUACUGUAGGGAUGGUGAGAUGCUGGAACAAGUUGCCGUGUUUUCUAAUUCAGGACUAUGUUGCUGGAAAAGCAGAAGUGAUUUUUCUGCUUUAGAUCAAUGUGAAUGCUGUAUUCUGCUUAAUCUCCCUGUUCAUUUGGGAUUCAGGCCAUAGUUAAGGCGGUCUGAAGUGUUUUUGCAGCUAGCUAGUCCAUAAAGUACAGCACAUUUGGCCUAUUUUUGGAGGUUCUUUGAGGCAGAGAUGUUUACAACGGUUGCAUAAUGGACAGGACUUCUUUUGUAAAAAUCCUCCUCGUGUGCCAGCAUCUGGUUUCUGCAAUCUCACUGCUAAUCAGCCUGGAGGUUUUAGAAACUUUCCUUUUAUUUUAUUUUUUGGGUUUUAUUUUUUUGCCUGUCAUGUUCCCUGCUGUUGGAGGUGGGGAGAGGUGAGGCCUUCAGACCUGGCAGUAGCACAAAGCUGCUGCUUGCAUUUUUAGAGCUCUGGCCCUAAGCAGUCCAGCUGACAGAGGCCUGCUAUGUUUGCAUUUUGCAUUUUGCUGGCACUUUUCAAGUUAUUCUUGUCACCCUCUGAAUACCCUCUUUGCCCCACUGUAUUCUAGAGGGCAUGUUAGAAAAGCAGCACCAAAGGAUGAGAUGAUAAAGUCAGACCAUCUUAGAUGGCUUUCUGUGGAAGGCACUGGGACCCCAUGUCCCUUUGGUACAGGAAAGGGAAAUCUUUUAUUUGAAGAAGGCUGCAGAGAGUUUUAAAUACUAGAGCUUUGGGGAGAGCCUAUUUCACAUUUUCAUUUUGAUUAAAUUUAGCAUUGCUCAUUUUUCUGUCAAAAUUUAUAUGUUUAGGCAAUGAAUUUGAUACGCUCAGGAGAUGUGGAUCAUUUCACUUUCUGUGGUUCUUAUAAUGAAGGGUCAGGAGGAGGCAAGGCUUGGUAGCUGGCAGUACAGGGAAGUCCUGGCUUGUCUGGCACUGCAGCAUCCCAUCCAUCUGCCCAGGAUUUCUGUCUGUGUUCAGCUCAGUUAAGCAACGUGAUGGUGUUGAUUUCUGUCUGCAACAGAGGGGAUUGCGCUGGGCAGGUAUUUUGUAUUGUGCCGUCCUGCUGGGUUUUUUUUCAGUUGCUCUUUCAGAAGCUCCGAGCUCUUGCCCAGGAUAAACAACCACACUGUGCUGCUGAGUACUGUGCUUGGAACCUUCACACCCAAAUGCAGUCGUUCUAAGGAACAGCUUUGCUCUGUGGACAGACUCCUUCCUUCUGUGAGUAACAGGGUGGAUAGAGAGACAGAUUAACCUUGCACUAUACUAAAGCAACUGUAGGAACAACAAAAUGAGUGUUCACAGCUCAGGAAAAUCUGGAAUUUCAAAUAAACCCACUGCAUUGACCCAGGCACAGUUUGGCAGUUGUUGCUACAGGGUGUUCAAAUUAAACAAUGAGGUUCCUGGUGUGAUGGAAAAGACUUUGCAAAGCACAUUGGUUCCUCCAGGAUCCAAAUGCACUUUCCCUUUCCAAGGGGAGCUGUGGGCAUUUGGAUCCUUGCAGAGAAGUUCCUGAGGCCCUCUAUCAGCAAAACACUUUUAAGCAUGUCCUUAAGCACUUUGUUGAUGAAGGGGAGACAUGAACUCUUAAUUAUCUGUGCUGAAUAAUAAUCUGAGAGGUUACUUGAGUAUCUUUUCUAACACUUAUACUCUAGCUCUGCCCCAAAAGGCUGAGCCCAAGAGGCCAGUGCUUUACCCUCCGGCUGCAUUUGCCUUCUGUGAACGCGCUCACUAGCCUUCAAGUAAAUGGGGCCGAUAUCUGUCUCUCUGUAGGAAUUUUGCCUGUCCUGAGUGCUUACCAGCUUAGAAGAAUAGACAUUGUGCCUUAUUCAGCUUUAACGGGAGCAGUGUCCAUCUUAUCCAAAUACCGCCGAGUGGGGGGUUAUUAAAUCAUCUGAAGGAAAAAUGAAGAAUGAAGCUAGAAGGGGAUCUGGCUUUCCCUUUCACAUGCUCACAUCUGUAGCAGAAGUGUUGGUGGAUGCCUCAGCCCUACGGCACAGCUGGCACUUUGGAGCCCUUCAUGGGAGGCAAAGAAAGAAAGAAAAGAAACACCCCCAUUCCCCCACCAAAGCAGCGAGUGAUUGCAGCUGUUCUCGAGAAGGGUUGUGUCAGCACAACGUGCAUAGCCCUACUCAGAAAGUUGGUGUCAGCAGCCGUAAAAGCUGGCCUGUCAGCAUUUCUGUUGUAUUUCAUACACAAGAUGCAUGUUACUGAACAAUUACACCGAAGGCGGAGAAUAUUCCUUGGGAACACAACUUGGAAGUAGCAUCUUCCUGUGGGAACAGUUCAGACUGUGUGCUGCAGAAACCUGAGUGGUUUGGAUGCAAGGCCUUGCUGCUGGGGCUCACUGCAAGCUGUGUGGGCUGCCAAAGCCAUAGUGCCACAGCCCAGCCGGGAGCCUCAGCCCAUGUAAUUAGUCAGGUCCUGGUAAUUCUAAUGAGCUUCUGAUCAUGCCAACACAUUCAGUGUGAGGGAAGCUGGGUGAUGCUUAAGUUUUUGGCCUCCGAAGCCUUCGGAGGGUAUAUAUAACUCUAGCUUUGUCUACCGGUCUCAAUGUGUCAUUGUGCUGUAGCCACUUUAAAGGGCAGGAUGGAGAGCUGGGAUGGAGUUCUCAUCUCUGCUUACUGGGAAGCAGAAAUUAAUUAAGGAAAAAGCAAAAACCAAACCCAAAGCAAGCAAAAAGUCAUGCUCAGAGUAGUUAAGGAAGCAGGAGGAAAGGAGCAUAAAAUCCCCAGGCACUCGCUGUUGAUUUGAUCUCUAUCUGUGUACAGGAGCCUGACUAAUUAAUUACAUGUGGCUCCAAGUCUGUUUUCUGGAUCUCUUGCAGACCUCUGGAUGCUGCAGUGAUCCCAGUCGGCACAGAAGCUGCUAUGAUGCUGAGAUGUGUCUUACCACGUGUUGCCCACCUCCCAGCAUAGAGCUGCACAGAGCAGCAGGAUGCAUGAGGCUCUCCCUCCUCAACAGCCCUCAGUGGUGCUCCUAUGGGUUUGGGUGCUCGUGUGAGGCAGUGAGAGGAGUAUGAGGAGUGCUGCGUUCUGCUGGGUUACUGGUGCUGGGCAGAAACUUCAGCCCUAGGGGGGUGUAAGGCCUCAACAUUACUUUAUAGUAUAUGUACAUCUAGGAAACAAGGAACUACCACUAAUAACAGCAAAGUCUGUACCAAGAGCUCUGCAGCAGACAUCUGACCACAGCCGAAGCCACAUUUAAAGCAAGGCAGUGUCUCUGUAAGAGCUAACAUCAGUAUAACAAAGUGAUGCCAGAGGGAACAAGUUAGGAGAAAUGUUUCCAUGGAGUGGUAGUUGGUUUCUUUUCUCUUCCCCCCCGCACCCCUCUCUCCUUUCUUUUCCUUACAUCUUCCUAUUAUUUUUUUCAUCUUCAAUUCGUACUUAAACCUUUCCAACCUUUCUGAGAGUCAGGAGAAUGGUUCUGAGAGUCAGGAGCCCCUCAGAAAAGGUCAGACAACCCAAGUGCACGGCAUUCUGGCUUUCCCAUGGGCCUUCCAGUAGUAUGGCACUCAGUCAAAGCAAACAUGAAUUUUAUCUGUCAGAAGCAAGCUUUAAAGCUCGGUGAUGUGUCUAUAGCUUAAGGUACUUUUACUUUUUUGUGUUGUACAGGUUUUAUUUCUCUCCAUUAAACAUAAGCAGUCUUUUGUUUUCCUUCAUGAACCUGGUCAUUUUUCUAUACGUUUCGAUGAGAAUUGCAUUGGGCUUCUCCCUGCCUUUCGUAGGGCAGCAUUGAUCUUUUUCCAUUUUGGAGAGAGCUGAAUAGAUGGCUAUGUCUAACGAGAGGAGCUUAUCCUUUGUGUUUACAGUUCAUUUCAGGAUAUCUUUCAGUAUGACUGAUCUAUAAAUGCUAAUUGUGGGUGAGGCACGUGGUAGGGGGACUUCUGCAGUCUUGCAGUUUAUGUAUAGGCAAUGCAUAUUGCUCUUCCUAAGGUUAAUAACAGAACUGAUUUUUGUGUGUUGCUCUUCUGAGAGCAACUCAAUCAUUAAUUUUUAGGCAUACGUGCAGGCAGAAUCCUGUUCAUCUCACAAAAUACAAAUAAAUGCUCUGAGGGCUAACUGCAGGAGUUUCUGUAUAAGCUAAAGCUUAACUCUGUAGGACACCACCCCAUCCCCCACCCAGGAACUGAGCGGAUCAUCACGCCCAGCGUUUGUUUUCAACACCACCUUUGUGAAAGCACCUCAGCACAUCUGACUUGCAGGUUGCCUUCUCCCAUGUAGGCUCAUGGUGUCUCACGCUGCCCAGUUAGAGUGCUGGGUACCGUGGGGUUUUCACGACCUUCCUCAUCUGUCUGCAUGUCCUCCCUCGAGUUAUCUGGAAGCUGAGAUGUCUUCUCCACUGGUGUCCUUGAAGUGGGUUAAACUGGAGGACGGAAGCUCCCGAGAGUUUCUAAUGCUGUGGUCUUCCGACAACUCAAAUGAUUUUGGUGACUCAUAAGGAGACACAAAGGCCACCUUUUUCUCUGACUGUGAAAAUCAGAUGGCAAAACCCAACAAAUUAGGCCUGAAAGAACAGAAAAACCUCUCUUUGGUUGCCUGGGAGGGAGGAAAGGAUGGGGAUCAAUGGAUUCACUACAAAAGCAGUCACAAAGUUUCCUUUCUGUCCUGUCAUCCGUAGUGUCUUCAAAAACACUUCUUCCUGAGACAGAGCUUGAACUGGUUCUUUUUCAACUUCAGCCCUUUACGCUAUUACAACUAAUCCCCAGUGGAAAUAUUUCUUUUCCUUUCAUUACUUUUUGUGCGAAUAUUUAUACAGUUAUCUCGCUGUUUCCUUUAAUUUGUAUCCCUUUAGACCAAAUAAAUUUAGUUGCUGUCAUCUUGCUUUCAAAGUUGUAUUCUUAAGUAAUAAAGCAACGUUAAAUAUAGUUGGAAACAGACAACAUGAUGCACCUGAGGCUUCACAAUAAUUCAUGCUUUUGGACACAAUAGUGUCCAUUUUACUAAGACCAGCAAUACACUGCUGUGAAUGAGUCCCUUGUCAGGAGUUUUUGAGCAUUUGAAAUAACAGCUGUCUUUUAAAAUAAUUACGUGUGCGUGGCGUAAAAGCCUAUGUUUGAGAUUUUAUGUAAAUUCUCCAUCCUGUUUUAAAAGUAAUUACAGUGAGAACUUGGAUAUUUAAUUUUUAAACACUGAAUUAAUUUUUUUUUCCUUUUUCUUGUUUGAGCACCGUGCAAUAGCUUGGAAACUCCUGUGACAUCUGACAAGGGACUUCACGGUUCCUGAUGGAACGUGUUGCACGCUCCCUCACAUCCUGCUCUGGCAACAGUAACGCCAUUCAUCCUCCAGCAAGUGGGGCUGGGAGGAAGUCCAGGUUUAUCGCUCUUUUCCUGGGGGGAUUGGAAGGUUCAGGAAAUUAUGGGAUUUAGAGAUCCUUAACUUCUAAAGUAUUUGCUUGAACUGCUCGUAACUGAGCAAUUCAAUGUGCCGCAUAUAUUUUCAAAGACUCUUGCUUACAAUUUGUGUAUUAAAUGGUAUUCUGCAGUAGGCUUUUUCGCUGGCUUACCUGGAAAAAUAGUGUAGAAGUUAAAGAUGGAAUUCCAAGAAUUUGGCAGAAAUUGGCUCCUGUGCAAUUAUAGUAUAUCAAUUGCUAUUUGAUGUACACACUGUACUGCAAGUCAUUGCCUGGUAGUGUAUGCAGGCCUUCCAUUAGCUUCUCUUUGGAGCUACUCUUGAAAUGAAAAGUGGAUGCGAUGAGCACUGGAGGUUUAUCACCAAUUUCUCUUUGAAGAUCUUGACUGCCACUGGUUAAAACUUCUAAGUAAACUUCGGCAGCGUUAUUGAGAUGAUUACACUGGCACUGACUAAUAUUUCCAAUGGUUUGACCAGUAAUUUGAGCUGUGCAAACUCAUGCUUUUGGCUCCAAGCAUUGGGUAUUUUAAAGCAGGCUCACAAUGAGUGAUAGGAAGUUACCUUUCCCAGGUAACACUCUAGACACUUUUUGCCUAUAUACUUAGUUUAAAUUUACUAAGCAAGUAAGCAAUAAAAUAAGGUCCAUAGGGGUAUAUAUAACCAGAGUUGCUUGAAUUUACUGCCAAGAGAUGCAUGAUGAGUAUGAUUAAGAGGCACUUUAUGCUGACUUUCUAAUAACUCUCUGCUAAAAUAUGUACUUCAGACAGUUCUGUCAGCUUUAUUGUUACUUUCUAAUUUUGGUCUAAAGAUUUUUAUCAGAUGUGAUUUUUCCCUUUAGGGAUUAUAGGAUGCAUAAAUUUUUGAAGAUGAGAGAGUUCCUGUGAUUCAUUCCUGGGCUCCAGUGGCCCUGUCUGGACAUCUGGGAUACCUCAGAGAAUCUCAGCGGCACUGGAAGCUACUUCACCUUGAAGCUGGAGUCAGAGAAGAGGACUCUGCUCAACCCUGACUUACUCAAUAGCCUUUACUCUUCUCUUGUCUUUUUGAAGAACGGGUUUGUAGGGACAAGCUGAUAGCAGUCCAUUCCACCUUCAGGAAACCAUAUCUGGUAAAGGAUGGGACUCAUUUCACCUAAUGGUAGAGACCAAAUUCUUAGCUAGUUUACAGUGAGAGUCUAGAUUCCUAGCUUAGAAAUACAAGCACUUUGAGACAGGUUUUGUGAUGAGGAGCUGCCUAGGAUGAGUGAGGUGAUGCUACCUGCUUCUUACUUGUGACUGAAGAAGAAACCUGGGUGACUAAUUUGAACUACAGCCUCAGAGGGUAUAUCUACACGGAGAUAAUCUAGGUAUAUCUACACAAGGAAACCAUAAUGAGCCUGCAAGAGAGCAUAGGGGCACAGCCAGGUAUAGCUUUAGUACACUGCCACUGAAAAUGAGAAUGCAGCUUUGCUGCUGCAUUGAGGUCCAAAGCCAUGCCUUGGGGUGGCUGUAGCUAGGCUGUUGGCUGUAGGGUAUACAGCACUUGGAAAACCGUGCAGCAGGUAAACUCCACUGCAACACUCACCAUAUGGUCCGGGCUAUGGAUCACCAAACUACCCCAUCUUGUUUCAAAACCACCCAUUAAUUAGCACAGUGGCUGUGUAAAACCAUUUUAUGAAGUUCAAUGUGGAUUUGCUUAAAUAUUUGCCCUUUUUCUCAGGUGUUUUUUGUUUUUUUGUUUUGUUUUGUUUUGGUGGGACUUGCCAAGUUCCAUGUUCCUGCUGCACUUUAGGAGUAUUUAGGAUCAUUAGCAUUAAGCUUAACGUGAUCUUUUCUGGGAGGGUUGUGCAAAGCCUGCAACAGACAUACUUCCCUCUCAGGGAGCUAUUUAUGUCUCUUUAGAAAUCCUCAGGCCAAACUGAAGACACCCAUUUCCUCUUUGUGGCAAUAGAAGUUCCCCAGGGAAAGUCCCGGGGCAUUGGCCCUGAGCUGUCAAACCAAACACACAGCACUGCUUCUUCUGAGUACGUGAUGAAUCUCAUGGUUGUGUGAUGGUCUACAAGCCAACUCAUUUUUCUAUUCCUUUUGUCUUCACCUCAUCCUAUGAUAGCUAUAUGUAUAUGUGUAGACAUAAACACACACAUACAUACUGUAAUUGGGAAUGUGGGUGGGCUAUGCUCCUAGUUGUAUUUUAGAAAGCUAAAAUUAGGCUUCUGGUGUUAAAACUACAUACAGUGCCCAGAGCUGUGGUUCAGCUUUGCUUUCUCACUGUUUCCUCAGUAACCAUAGCUACUGCACCUUCAUCACUGUGAGCUUAUUUCUCCGAGAUUCCUUCUUUUAGAAUUACUGGUGUAAUUUCUUACAAAUACCAGCGGAAAGCUCCCAUAACGAACACCCCUCUCUUCCUCUGGCCUCAAUCCCUUUCCUGGCCUAACUUUUCCACCCGUAAAUAAAACCUGCCCCCAGUUUGCUCUGUGCUUGGUUUCCCACCAAACAAAAUUGGUUAGUCACCAAUUUGCCUGUACUCCUUUUGGUUGAUGAGAGCCCUUGAUGCCACCUGUGUCUAACCUCAAGAAAAUAACUAGUGCUCCUGGCUCCUGCUGAGUAUGGUGAUGCUCAGCAGUAAAGCUUAAAAGAUUGAUUAUCCUGAGUCAUUUUCACCAGCUACCAGAGCUGCUAGUAUUUUUUAAAAAUAUAUACUCACAGUGCCUCUCUUCAUAAAAAGUAUGCGAGGAUUUCAGGUCUUUGGCUAGCAGGGGAGCAUAAAUCAUCACAGACACUGUGAUGCUGAUGAUUUGUAUUCUCGUAGCACCUAUUCCAUAGUUCUGAACAGCUACAAAAUACAAGGCAUUCCCUUGCCCCAGAUGAUGGAUAAUCUUGGCAUAGAAGAAGGAAAAUAGCAGAUGGAUAUAGAUGCAUGGGGAGAUACAGUCGGUCUGGGUCGGGAUGAUGCCAGUCUUAGCAACUGUCUAACUGCAGUUGAAUUUUUGAGGCUUUAUGACUGGAUCAUUUCAAAGGAGAGAUACAACAUAAGGAUGACUGUUAUUGUGCUAUCAUAAAAGAAAAGGAGGAAUAUUUUGUAACAUAUCUAAUAAGUAAGGAAAGUCAUUCCUUUUUUGUGUGAUACCUGUUUACACUGUGGACUUCUACGUGAAUAACUCACUGCUGUAGCUGUCACAAUCCAAACCAAUGCGCUGCCAUAAAAACAAAGGCUAGACCAUGACACUUUAUUAUUAUUGUUAUUAUUAUUAAUUUUGACAUAGAACAUGGCUGUCAAAAAUGCUCUGCCUAGGUGAGCAGAAUCCAGUUUAAGAUCAAUGCCUUAGUGCAGGUGACUAUAGCUCUUGGUAGCGCUGCAUACUCCCAUUUCAGUGAGUGUAGAGGGCCUCAGCUAAACAGCCAUCAGCUGUCUGCUCUGCAGUGAGUCAAAUCAUUCUUAGGCUCCCUUAGCUGCAUUGGUUAGGUUGUCAUUGACUAUAGCAGAGCUUGUUGGUUAGAUUUCCCACUGAGUUUUCUUGGAGCUUGGAGGCACAGCCUAAAUUUCCAACCUGUUCCAUCCUGUUGCCCAAUUUCAGGUGGUCUGCUCAAAUGUAUCUGCCAAAUGAGAUGUCUCCAGCUUGGCCAAUAGAUUAUGCUUUUUAGAUGUAGGUUUACUGUAAGACUAGUAUCUUAUCUUGCUGUGCUGGACAUCUCUGAUUCCUCUGAAUACCUCAGAUGUCACCAGACAUCAGAGUUUGGAUGACUAAUUCAACUGUCCUUGCCCUUUAAUGCUUAAGAAGCCUGCUCAGAGCCUGCCAUCAUGAUGUAUGUCUUCACGUUGGUAGUCUCAAGAGCUGGUGUAUGAGCAGUGGCUAAAGGAUGAAAAUGAGAGUUGACUACAGCUAAAACAUAAAUAAUUUAGAUGAGUAUUUGAAGGGGUUGGGUUUGGGGUUUUUUGUUUUGUUUUGUUUUUUUUUUUUUUUUUUUUUUUUUUUUUUUUGGAGUGCCAUACCAACAAUCACUCAAUUCAGUUUCUAAUUUGAGAGUUCUGUUAGCCCGUUUCCUGAUUAAACUCCUUCAUGGCAAUGACUAAUGCCUUACAACACAUCUGGUUGGCUAACAAAACAUCCACUACUCUGGUGACCCAGACUUCAGCCAGCCUCACUUCUGUCAUCCCUUGCAUGGAUUGCAAGCAAUAUGGUCUCCUCAGCUAUCAACUCUUAAGAAACUCCAAAAAUACUUCCCAGGAAGUUCAGGAAACUCCAUCACAUCAAUUCAAUUACUUGGAUUACCAAAAGCAAGUCAAAGCAAUCCUCUGCUCUUGGCACUGUCCAGCGAUGACACCAAGUCAAUUAAUUUGACUCCCAGUUUGUAUCAAUGGCCUGAGUUCCAGAUCAUUAAAAAAUCCUCCUAUAACUCUGUGAUGAGCUGACAAAUCAAAGCUGACAGUUUUGCUCUUUGGGUAUAACUGAGCUUUCUAUAAUAAGGCGCAAUUAUUUGUACAAGAGAGAGCUUUCUUACAGGAAGAUCUCUGUGUGUAAUCAAUCGCCAUACAAGUUAAAGAUUAACAAAAUCUUCACCUGUCUCUGGAUUCACAUGCAAGGUGCACUCGUGAGCUUCUGCUGUCCCUAAUAUAAACACAGUCAGUGUGGGAAGCGUGGAUAAAAGCUGUAACAGGAAGGCAAGCUGAGCUGGUCAGCGCUAACCAGUGCUCCAUACAAUGGAUGCCAACCAAGGCCUGACAAUUCUGGUUAGAAGCAAAGAGCACAUUUUUAAUCCCGAGUUGAGCGCUGCAACAAUAGGAUAAGCUUCCAUCUCAGCAGCUCUUCACUCCAGGCAGUGCUUCUGUCCAAAACGCGUGCUCUAGCCAAGUACAAAGCUCCCUGCCUUACCCAGCCAACUGCAUUGCCAUGUCAGUUUCAUCCCCAAAGCCUGAGGGACUUCAGGAAGAACUGAAACCGGCUGGGAAGCACGCCGCAGUCCUCAGCCCUGCCUGCUGCACAUGCCCCGAGCCCUCCUCACAGGAACCCUUCCCGUGUGCCGUGCAACCCGUGUCCGCACGCCGCUGGUCACAAAACGAGCGGUUCCGCAGAAGGAGCUGCCAUCUUCUCGACACGCACCCGGCUCGGCUCGGCUCGGCUCGGCUCGGCUCGCUCCUCCCGGCUCGGUCCCGGUGGGCGCCGAGCUCUCCUCAGAGAGGACAACUUCAGCACGGCGCCGGCUCCCGGGGCGCUCCCGACGCCCCUUCAGCCCCGCAGCACCGCACCGCGG